rnacentral:rRNA from 1 species
GCAAACGGGAUUAGAUACCCUGGUAGUCCACGCUGUAAACGAUGUCGAUUUGGAGGUUGUGCCCUUGAGGCGUGGCUUCCGGAGCUAACGCGUUAAAUCGGCCGCCUGGGGAGUACGGCCGCAAGGUUAAAACUCAAAUGAAUUGACGGGGGCCCGCACAAGCGGUGGAGCAUGUGGUUUAAUUCGAUGCAACGCGAAGAACCUUACCUACUCUUGACAUCCAGAGAACUUAGCAGAGAUGCUUUGGUGCCUUCGGGAACUCUGAGACAGGUGCUGCAUGGCUGUCGUCAGCUCGUGUUGUGAAAUGUUGGGUUAAGUCCCGCAACGAGCGCAACCCUUAUCCUUUGUUGCCAGCGGUUCGGCCGGGAACUCAAAGGAGACUGCCAGUGAUAAACUGGAGGAAGGUGGGGAUGACGUCAAGUCAUCAUGGCCCUUACGAGUAGGGCUACACACGUGCUACAAUGGCAUAUACAAAGAGAAGCGACCUCGCGAGAGCAAGCGGACCUCAUAAAGUAUGUCGUAGUCCGGAUUGGAGUCUGCAACUCGACUCCAUGAAGUCGGAAUCGCUAGUAAUCGUAGAUCAGAAUGCUACGGUGAAUACGUUCCCGGGCCUUGUACACACCGCCCGUCACACCAUGGGAGUGGGUUGCAAAAGAAGUAGGUAGCUUAACCUUCGGGAGGGCGCUUACCACUUUGUGAUUCAUGACUGGG